rnacentral:rRNA from 1 species
UGGGGAAUAUUGGACAAUGGGCGCAAGCCUGAUCCAGCCAUGCCGCGUGAGUGAUGAAGGCCCUAGGGUUGUAAAGCUCUUUUGUGCGGGAAGAUAAUGACUGUACCGCAAGAAUAAGCCCCGGCUAACUUCGUGCCAGCAGCCGCGGUAAUACGAAGGGGGCUAGCGUUGCUCGGAAUCACUGGGCGUAAAGCGCACGUAGGCGGACUCUUAAGUCGGUGGUGAAAUCCUGGAGCUCAACUCCAGAACUGCCUUCGAUACUGGGAGUCUCGAGUUCGGGAGAGGUGAGUGGAACUGCGAGUGUAGAGGUGAAAUUCGUAGAUAUUCGCAAGAACACCAGUGGCGAAGGCGGCUCACUGGCCCGAUACUGACGCUGAGGUGCGAAAGCGUGGGGAGCAAAC